CGUACAUUGACUCUCAAGGCAGUUUACAAAUUAUUAAGCAGCUAGAUCAGAAACUUAUCCUUGAUGACAAGUAUAAAAUACGAUCACCCUUAAUCAAGUUAAAACUAAAUACAAUGAUCCUUAGCUUCUUAAGUAGAUUGGUUCAGAUUUUUAAACUUAUUCAUGGCCGGCAGUGCCGUCCCUAACUUCUUCAACACUCAGUUUACUUCUUUCACUCAAGAGUACGUACCUUGAGGAGUUGAGGACUAAGGCUUUCAAUCACAAUAGAGUAAGCUUUCCUUAGCGUCCACCAGCCAUCAUGUUCUCAUUCGAGUCAUCACAGAAAUAUCCAUCGUAUGAGCCGAGGAAAAGUUCUAUAGAUGCUGAUCAGUUACUGUUACGACUGUCACUGUUUAGUUUCAGCAAGCUUUCUGUCAGUGAUCAACAUGAGCACGUAGAUGAAAUCCGGAAAAAGGUAGCUGAAAAUGUCACAGUCCAGCAGCUAUCCGAAGAAAGCAACGAGGGUUUCAGAAUGAGAACAUACACAGAGCUGCUCAAGAAAUUUCCUUUCACUUUCAAAAAUCAUUUCCUGUUCAAAGUUGUCAAGAAAUUCAAGCAUGAGAGGCAAUUUGCGGAAAUAAUUUCUUCGUUCAAGCAACUAGACGCUAGUGAUCAACAAAAGUUGAUCGAGUCAAUCAUUCAUGAUACACCGGAGAAGAUUCUCCAGACUCAUGAGGAAGCUGAUGAGGGUUUCAGACUCCGCAGAAUCACGCAGCUGUCUAGAGAUUACAAUGACCAUGUCUACAAAUGCCUUGUUGAUGGGAAAUAUAUCAUUUCCGGUAAUCAUGACAUUCUUUUGGCUGAGUUGCAGAGUCGGUAUGCAGAUUUUUUCUUUGGUUUAUCAACUAUUUGGUUCCAGGGUCAAACCACAGAUGCUCAAAGAAGGAUGAUUAAACAACUAGAUGGUGAUGAUGUACUCGGGAAACGACUCCGAGAUGAAAGUGAGGAAGAUUUCAAUCUCAGAAGUUUCACAGAGUUGUUUUGUAAGAAAGCAGUCGACUCUCGUCCGCAAGUUUACUUCCUUGACGCUGUUGAAGAGAGACUACUUCAGCAAGAAAAAGGUCUUCCUCACGGUAGGCUCCUUCCACCUCAAGAUUUUGACAGUGCUGCUGAACUACUCUCGAGCCUCUCAACCUUCGGAUUCAGCCUACUCCCCGAGAAGGAUCAACUACACGAGAUUGAAGAAAUGUGUGAGGAAGUUGGAUUUGGUCAUCAUGUGAAUAACCAAAGACAGCAUGCGACAGAGACAAGCGAGGAAGAUUCAAGAAUAAGAAGAUUCAAAGAGCUAUAUGAUCAUCUUUGGGUGGAUAACCGGAUUGAGUUUCUCGAACAACUCACGAAAAAAUUCUUUCGAGAAAGGCAGCUGUGUGAGUCCAUUCUUUUGUUCAGGCGUUUAGGCUCUCCUGAACAAACAGAGACAAUCCAUAAUCUGUUUGAUGGGAUUAUGAAGUCCCACCCAUCAUGGAGAAGACUAGAUGUCAUAGUCGAGAAACUGACAGAGGAGAGUGAUGAGGAUUUUCGGCUCAGCAGAUUCAAGACGAUGUAUAUGGCAGAGAGUUCCUAUGUUUGGAAUUGGUUCUGCCAGGUUGAAGCUCGGAAGCUUGGUCCAAAAGCUACACUACAACUACAUGCAUUUGACAACAAAGAGAUACCUGAACUUCAACAAGCCCGAUUUGCUGAACUCUUCAUGGGUUUGGUAGUCAUUUGGUUCAAAGCGAGAUGCGCCCAUUAUCCAAGAAACCCUGUUCAUGUUAUACUUUCCGGUGAGUUUUUUGAAGUAGAAGAUGCAAGUGAGAAACUUGCUGAAGAAAGUGAGGAGGAUUUCAGACUACGAAGAUUCACAGAGGCGUUUGAGCAACUGGAAUUUGAUUCCAGAGAGCGUAUUGUGAAAUAUAUAAAACUUACAUUAUUUCAUGAUCUAGGUUACAAGCCUAUAGAGCACGAUACCAUGUUCAGAAUUCUCAUGGAAAGGGACGGCAAGGAAUGGGCAUGAUUCAUCAAGCUGAAAUGUUUGAAUCUAAGAGGAGUGGAGGACGAGCAACACGUACAUACUCCAAAUCCAGGAGCAGGAGCAGCAACAAUAUAUUUGCAAUUUCUCUUAUGGCAAGUGUAACAAUAUUUCAGGCACUUUUUGGUUCAUUUUCUUUUCCUUGCAGUUAGUAUUAGUAUGUUACCACCAUGCAUUCUAGUUUGAUGCAAUAAACUUAGAAUGAGUGCUCGAAAUCACAGUUCAUACCGAUCUGUUGCUGAGUUUCGUUACAUUCGAACAAUUGUACUUAAUUUCAUAUUUCAAACUUAUAUGACUAUGCUGCUGCAUUCAUGAGUUGCCUAUGUUAGAAAUUGUUGUGGGCUUUUUUUUUGUUAACAGGAGCUAGGUAGAGCAAAAUGCUCUCCCACCUCAAAUUUAUUAAUAAAAAAGAAAGAUUACAAGCUAGUUGGAUGACACUAAAGUCAGUAUCAGAAAACACCAAAUAAGAGACAUCAAACUACACUGUAAAACAAAAUCAAUGAAAAUGAAAAUUAGGGAGACUGAACUUAUCUCGUUGGUACAUGCCCCGAAAGAAGUGGGGAGGUUCAUCCCACCAAGAUAAUGCAGACAUUGUGUCACACCCCAGGACUCGCUCCGCCGUAACACAAUAUUGUCCGCUUUGGGCCCACCGGCCCUCACGGUUUUGUUUCCAGCAGCUCAGGAGCAGCUUCCCAGGAGGUCACCCAUCCUGGGAUUGCUCUCGCAUCAACAUGCUUAACCUCGGAGUACCCAUCCCCUCCGAAGCCGCUGAGUCACCAAAAGGCCUCGUGUUAGAUUGGAGGUGGGCAUGUACAUAUACAACACAUAACCCCUCUCCGUUUGGCCGAUGUGGGAUAUUACAAUCCACCCCCCUUAGGAGUCCGACGCCCUCGUCGGCACACUCGCACCACACGGCAGAGUGGCUCUGAUACCAUUUGUCACAUCCCGGGACCCGCUCCGCCGUAACACGAUAUUGUCCGCUUUGGGCCCACCGGCCCUCACGGUUUUGUUUCCGGCAGCUCAGGAGCAGCUUCCCAGUAGGUCACCCAUCCUGGGAUUGCUCUCGCAUCAACAUGCUUAACCUCGGAGUACCCAUCCCCUCCGAAGCCGCUGAGCCACCAAAAGGCCUCGUGUUAGAUUGGAGGUGGGCAUGUACAUAUACAGCACAUAACCCCUCUCCGUUUGGCCGAUGUGGGAUAUUACACAUUGACAAACCCAUAUUGUUGUGGGUUUGAUUGAUAACCAAUGUUAGAAUUUGUGGCUUGUUACCAAAGUCAGAAUUUGGUGCGGAAGUGUAUAGUGUGUGGUGAUGGGCUAGAACAAUGUGUUUGGGAGUUGGGACAAUGGUAUUAGAAGCUAGAAGUUGGGAGAAAUAUGUUAACUAAUAAGACAAGUGAUUUAGGAGGAUAUAGAAUUGAAUACGAAACAGAUGAGGACUCACUUAGCUUAGCUUGCUUCAAACUAUUGUUUCAUUCAUCACAUUUGGAUUAAAAAACAAACCAGAUUUAGAGAAAACUAGAAACCUAAUAUAUAUUACCUGUGUUAGUUGCUCUAGGGUUUGUUUACAAGUAAGCAUUCUUAAACAACCGGAGAUGUUAACUUACAUGUUACUAUCAAUCAAAUUAAGAGACUUCUUGUAUUUUCUAAUGGAUUCAAGUGCUUAUUAACUAGGAAAAUUCUGCUGUGCCGGAAGGCAUAGCAUGCCUGCUGGAAAACACAGGCAAAACCACCCUCUGCUGGACCCCCUGUUGCACCUCCCCCUCUCCUUAGUGAAAGGCAUGCUAAACCCAAUUAACUAAGGGUUCAUUGCUUGUGAACUCUUUAUUCUAUUUGCGGAACCAUGCAACACUUCCAUGAUAUCGACAAUGAAGGCGAACCCCUAUGCUCACCGUGAGAACUUUCGCCUGAAUCACUACCUCUUAAUUUUGUCAGCAUCUGACAUUUCCUACCGAAGCAGUCUCUCAUUCGCAAUGUCGAAGCAUAAAUCGUAUAAAUAUAGGAUGCAGUAAUGAAAUAAUUGACAUUAUACUCGAAAGUUAUCACAUACUUUUUUCUUUUAUAGGAAAGCUGGCUAUAAUCUUUUUCAAGUAUUCAAGCUCUAGUACCGUUCUUCCCUUGAUCACUUACAUGACUCAGCACUUAAAUUAGGAGAAGCUCAUGCUAAUUUAGAUAUUAGCCGGCUUUGGACAUGUACUGGUUCUUGUAAUCAUCCCCGGCCAGAAACUUCCAAACAUUGUUGGGGUGGAUAUGUUUGUCAUAAGUUACUCUCCAAACAAAGAAGACAAAAAUAAAACCAGAAAACCGAUCGAAAGAACACCAACAAGACCGUCCGCAUACGUUUGUUUUUUCUUUUGAAACUCUUUGCACUGUGUCUUUGAUUGAAGUAAGUUUUAUAAAAUAUUGUUUAAUCCUUGUGGUUUGAAGUCGACAUCUGUUUAGUUCUUAUGGUUUUAUUUUAAUCUAAAUAGUCCUUAAAGUCAUGAUUUUUUAUCUAAAUAGUUCUUAUGCUUUUAUUUUAAUAUGAAUAAUCCUUAAAGUCAUGAUUUUUCAUCCAAAUAGUUCUUAUGACCUUUAACUGACUGAGAAAAUUGUCGGAAUGACUAUUUAGAUGAAAAAUCAUGACUUUAAAGACUAUUUUGAUUAAAAUAAAACCAUAAGGCCUAUUUGGAUGAAAAAUUGUGACUUUAAGGACUAUUCAGAUUAAAAUAAAACCACAAGAACUAAACAGAUGUCAACUUUAAAUCACAAGGACUAAACAAAUUUCAAUUCUUUAUAUAUUUAAGAUCUACGGCUAUCCAAGCAAACCAGCAACCAAACAUCAUGUUCUCAUCCCGGAAAUUACCUGCAUAUCAUCCCAGGAAGAGUUCCUAUCAUCCUGAUCAGUUACUGCUACGACUUUCAAUAUACGGGUUCAGCAAACUAUCUGUCAGGGAUCAACGUUUGCAUACAGAAGAAAUCCUAACAAAAGUAGUUGAAAAUGUUGCAGUGGAGCAGCUCUCUGAGGAAACAGACGAGGGUUUCAGAAUCAGAACAUUCACGGAGCUACUCAAGAAACUGCCAUCCGCCUAUAAACAAAUUUUCAUCACUAUGUUUAUUAAGAAGUUCAUGCAUGAGAGGCAAUUUGGGGAGUUAAUUUCUACAUUCAAGCACCUAGAAGCCAAUGAUCAACAAAAAGCGAUUGAAAUAAUUGUUGAAGUUGCACCCGAGAAGAAUCUCCAGAUUCUUGGGGAAGCAGAUGAGGAUUUCAGACUCCGAAGAUUUACACAGCUGUGUAGAGAUCAUACGGACCAAGUUUAUAAAUGCCUGCUUGUUGAUCGGAAAUAUCCCAAAUCCGGUAAUGAUCACAUCUUUUUGGAUAAUCUGCAGUCCCGCUUUUCGGAUUUUGUUUCAGGUUUCUCAACUAUUUGGUUCCAAGGACAAACCUCAGAUCUUCAAAAAGAAAUGAUUGAAAAACACCUUGGUGGUAGUACUGUUGGGGAUGGUAUAGUUGAGAAUGAAAGUGAGGAGGAUUUCCAACUCAGAAGCUUCACAACUCUGUACCGUAAGAAUGUAGUCGACUUUCAUGCCCAAGUAGAAUUCCUCGACUUUGCUAAUGAGAGACUGCUUCGGCAGGAAACUAAAAUUCCGCACAAAAGACUCAUCCUGCCUCAAGAUUCUGAAAGUGCUACCGAGUUACUCACGAGUCUCUCAACCUUCGUAUUCAGCCUACUCUUCGAGAAGGAGCAGCAAGAUAAGAUUGAAGAAAUGUCCAAGGAAGUUGGAUCAAGUCAUGUAACAGAAGAAAGUGAUGAAGACUUCAGAAAGGCCAGAUUCAAGGAGCUAUUUAGUGAGCUUCCAGUGAGUGGCCGAAUUGAGUGUUGUAAUGAACUCACUGAAAAAUUCAAGCGUGAAAGACGCUUCUGUGAGUCUAUUCUUUUGUUCAGGCGUUUAGGCUCUCAGGAACAAAUAGAGCUAAUCCAGAAUCUGUUUGAUCGGAUUUUGAACUUGCAUCCCUCAAGCCAAAGAUUCGACGUCAAAUCUGUCAUAGUGGAGAAGUUGACGGAGGAGAGUGAGGAGGAUUUUCGGCUCAGCAGAUUCAAGAAGAUGUAUUUGGCAGAGCCUUCCUCUGUUUGGAAUUGGUUUAGCUACCCUGAAGCUGAGAAGCUUGGUCGAAAAGCUACACAGCAACUGCAUAUAUCUGAAAAUAAGGUACCUGGAAUCCAAAAAUUCCGAUAUGCUGAAUUUUUCACGGGUUUUGCAGUCAUUUGGUUCAAAGCACGAUGCUCCCAUCAUCCAAGAAACCCCGUGCAUGUUAUACUUUCCGGUGAAUUUUAUGAAGAAGAUGAUGCAAGUGAUAAACUUUCUGAUGAAAGUGAGGAGGAUUUCAGACUAAGAAGAUUUAGAGAGGCGUUUGAGCAACUUGAAUUUUAUUCCAAGGAGCAGAUUGUUAGUUACAUUAAACUUACGUUAUUUCAUGAUCUAGGUUGUCAGCCUAUAAAUUAUGUGAGCAAUUGGUCCUCAAGAAGGGAAUUUGGAGGAAGGGGUUUGUUUGACCCUGAGUUCUUCAAGUUGAAAACUCUAAAUUUCAGAGGAGAAGUAAUUACUCCAAAUCCAGGAGCAGGAAGAGGAAGAGGAAGGCGGGAGAUUCAAAGGGUAGGAUGAGUUGUUCUCUUCUCACAGGUCCUUUAAUAGUAAAGUAAGGUGUAAUCCAUAUGGUAACUGUUACCAUGGUGUGGUAACUAGUAAGAUUGCACCAGAACUUAAUGUGAUGUAAUAACGAUUCCCGUCUUGUAUGAAUGUAAUUCCCUUAUCUAGUGUGUACUGUUUAGUUCGUGGUUGAGCAACUUGACUUUCUUCCACUGAGCGUAUCAGUUGGUUCAUGGUUUUCAGUAAUUUACAGUAUUCUGAUGAAAUACUCAGGUCAGUAAGGCCAUCAGAAGGAAGAGUUUGUAUAAGAGGAACAACUACUACUCAAGUAGGUGGAGGUAGAUGAGAAGGAAGUGCCCAAACAGUAGGAUGAUCGAGUUGCCUCAAGUUCACAGUUCAGGUAGCAAAUUACAAAUGAGGUCUACUCCUGCGAUUGAGAUCAACUUAGAUCAACAUAUGACACGGACACAAAGAGCCAGAGGAACUGACAAAGAGAGAGGGGAGAAAUAAAGGGAGCUUCCUUAUGCUCUUGUACAAUGUACAAACAAAACUUGUACACAACUAGUCUAGCUAUCGUUUGCACCAAAAGCUCCAAUGAUCAGAAAGGGAAUAAAGUGUUUACAGUGAUCUGAUGUUCUGAUGGAUGAUAGAUUUUUCAUCUUAUUUAGUCCAAAAUCCAAAUUAAAGGACCAUUGUUCAAGUCAUUCUCUAAUGUACUAGUCAUUUGGGUUAUGACUUAUGCAAUAUCUGAUCAAGUCUCCAACACAAUCAUUUGCAAUCGGAGAUGAUUCCAGCAGCCAAGCAGGUACAGAUAUUUCCCAAGUCAUUUGGGUUAGUUAUACUAUUCACUCGAUUCACUUUACUUAAUGAUGAACGAUGGAAUAACAUUGUGCAUGAGUCUCUCAGCCUUUGCAUUCAGCCUACUAGUCGAGAAAGAUCAGCAAAACAAGAUCGAGGAAAUGUCUAAAGCUGUUGGAUUAGGUCGUCUAUAUAACAAGAGACAGCUUGCCACAGAAAAAAGCGAGGAAGAUUUCAGAAUCGCAAGAUUAAAAGAUCUAUUUAGUUAACUUCCCGUGGGUGGCCAAAUUGAGUGUUUGAAUAACUCACGGAAAGAUUCUUACGUGAAACACGCUUCUGUGAGUCCAUUCUUUUGUUCAGGCGUUUGGCAUCUCAUGAACAAAUAGCUACUCGAGAAUCUGUUUGAUCGGAUUAUGAAGUUGCACCAGUCAAGCCAAAGAUUCGAUGUCAUAGUCGAGAAAUUGGAGGUGACAGAAGAAGAUUUUCGGCUCAGCAGAUUUGAGAAGAUGUAUAUGGCACAGCCUUCCUCUGUUUAGGAUUGGUUUUGUGGACCUGAAGCUGCCAAGCUUGGUCGAAAAGCUACAUUACAACUACAUACAUCUAAAUAUAAAGAGAUACUUAAAAUCCAGCAAUCCCGAUUUGCUGAAUUUUUCAUGGGUUUGGCAGUAAUUUGGUUCAAAGCACGAUGCGCCCAUCAUCCAAGAAACCCCGUGUCUGUUAUACUUUCUAGUGAACUGUUUGAAGAAGAUGAUGCAAGUGACAAACUUCCUGACGAAAGUGAGGAGGAUUUCAGACUACGAAGAUUCAGCGAGUCAUUUGAGCAACUCGAAUUUUCUUCCAUGGAGCGUAUUGUUCAAUACAUUAAAAUUACGUUAUUUCACGAUAUAGGUUACCAGCCUAUAAGAUAUGGUACCCGGUUUUCCUCAAAAAAAUCAUUAGAAGGAAGGUGUUCGUUUGACCCUGAAUUCAUCAAGUUGAAAACUCUAAAUCGAAGAGGAGGAACAGCUACUCCAAAUCCAGGAGCAGGAGGAGGAACAGCCACUCAAGUUGGAGGAACAGGAGGGCAGGGAAAAAGUACUCAGACGGCAGGACGAGUAACUCUCUUCUCACGUGUCCUUUAGUAGCAAAUUACAAAUAAGGUUUAUCCCUUAUGGUAACUGUCACCAUCAUGUAAUAACUAGUAGGAUUUGCACCAGAACUUAAUGUGAUGUAAUAACAAAUCCGUCUUGAAUUCUUUUAUCCAGUGUUUUGUUCAUGUUUGAGCAACUUCAUUUUCUGCCAUUGAGCAUAACAUAGCAUGCAUUAAACUCAUGAUAUUUCACGAUCUAGAUUAUCAUCCUUUACAGUAUUUCGAUCAAAUACUCAGGUCAGUAAGGCAAUCAGAAGGAAGUAGUUUAUAAGUUUGUAUACGUUCAACUUGAAAACUUAUAAUCUGAGAGGAGGAACAACUGCUCCAAAUAUAGGAGUAGAGGAGGAACAACUACUCAAGUAGGAGGAGGUAGAUGAGAAGGAAGUAGUGCUCAAACGGUUGGAUGAGUGGCCUUAAUUUCAUAAUUCAAGUAGCAAAUUACAAAUAUUAUUCCUGAUAGUUCAGCAAUAGAACCAAAUAGCCAGAGGAACUGAGAUAGAGACAGGGCAGAAAUUAUAGGAGCUUUCAUUGCAAUAUUUCAGUUUCUUGGUGUUUCCGUUCCUUCAGCUCUUCUACAAUGUACAAACAAAACUUGUACACAACUAAUUUAGCUAUCACUUUGCACUAGAAGCUCCGAUGGUCAGAAAAGGAAGAAAUUGUUUAUAGUGAUCUAAUGGGUGAGGGCUUUGUCAUCUUAUUUAGGUCCGAAUCUAAUGGAUGAAUGAAGAAUCUAUCUAAGCUGAAGUAACAAAACUACAAAAGCCCCAGAAUCCUGAACAGCUAUUCACUCUGUUCUAAACGGAUAUGAGAUAUAUUUUGGCCCAAAAUUAAUUAUAAAGUGAAUGGUUAAUUUGCAAAUUCGAAGGCUCAUUAUCCACUAGAACUUUCAUUUCAUUCGAAGCGCUCAUAGCUUCCAUUUUCCAACCUCCAUGGUCUUCACCUUCUAGGUUGACAUUUUAGGUGAAUUAUUCAUUUUGUUUAGGUGCACUAGAGUUGGCAUUUUAGGUGAGUUAUUCUUUUUUCUUUCUUAUCUUUUUUAAUCUACAUUUGUUUGGAGAAAAAUAAUUAGCUUACUAAUUAGAGUGUUCAUGGCAUAAAAUCAUAUUGAAUAAAGAAACAUAGACAUUUGUAUAGCAGACACCAAAAACACAGAACAAAUGGAAGCCAAAGCAAAAGUUUCAUUAUCAAAGGUUACAGGUUAUAUAUAGCAAAUCACCCUAAAUUCCAAAAGCAAGGAAAAAAGAAGUUAACCCUGAGAAAUUGCGGACACCUAUAAAAAAGUUUGAAACUUUCAACUCACCCACCUACCAGUUUUAUAUAAUUAUAUGCAGAUUAUUCAUGUUAAACAUAUGAAAUUACAUUCUAUUCGAUAACCCAUUAGUCUUAAACUCAAGAGAAAAGGGGAAAGAUAUAAAACCAUAGAUUAGAAAGGGGAUACCGAAUACUUACCUGAAUUGAAACUUCCGAAUCCUGACUGUGGCAGUACUUGAAAGAAAAAGAAAAAAUACCUUUCAAAGCUCAGGAAAUCUUCGAAUUCAAAGGGCAAGAAAGAACGCGAAUAUGACCUUGCAAAGCUCUGAUCUCCAUGGAAGUCCUGGACAUCUUCAGUUUUCAGAAGGGCAACAAUAGUAUAGUAUGAGAUGGGGGCAACGAAACGUGAAGAAACGAGAUGUUUUGUUUGCCAAAGUUUUGGGCCGCGGAGAAAGGUUUUAGGUGGUCUUAGACUUUAGGGUUUAAGUUUAGACCCAAUAUCUAACGUUCAAAAAGAGGCCCAACUUCAGUAUCUCUUUGGCAAACAAGAAGAAGAAGAAGAAGCAUAUAAUGCAAAGAACAAAACGAGGUCGAAUUUUCCCUUCACCCUUGAAAUGAUAGACACAAGAAUGAAUCGACUAAGUUCUUGCAACGAUAUCAUCACUGUUAAGAUGAUGAAAAUGUUAAGAUGAUGAAGGCCCAGUUGAACAACAUAUAAGCCCAAUUGUGGUCCAGGUUUAUAAUAACUGUUAUAAAUAGAGAUAAAUCCCUUUUUAGAAUAAAAAAGCUGAAAACCAAUUUUUGUACAAUUACGAUGUUAUCAAUCUCAGUAGCUCACUUCGUUUUCUCUCUACCAUUUUCCAUGGUUGUUCUUCAAGUUUUUAUCAUGACCUUGAUUUUUAGCACAAUCUACGUACAUUCAUGAUCUUACUAGCUAGAAGUCUUUGUAAUAUGUAACUCAUCCACCUUACAGAUUCUAUAAUUCUAUGC
rnacentral:lncRNA from 1 species